UACAGAGGUCUCAAGCGUUGUUCGGAUUCAUUGGGCGUAGAGGGUGUGUAGGUGGCGCGCUAAGUCGGGUGUGAAAUUUCGGAGCUUAACUCCGAAACUGCAUUCGAUACUGGCGUGCUUGAGGACUGGAGAGGAGACUGGAAUUCAUGGUGUAGCAGUGAAAUGCGUAGAGAUCAUGAGGAAGACCAGUGGCGAAGGCGGGUCUCUGGACAGUUCCUGACGCUGAGGCACGAAGGCCAGGGGAGCAAACGGG
rnacentral:rRNA from 1 species